CCCUCUGUCCCUAUCUACUAUCUAGCGAAACCACUGCCAAGGGAACGGGCUUGGAAAAAUCAGCGGGGAAAGAAGACCCUGUUGAGCUUGACUCUAGUCUGGCACUGUAAGGAGACAUGAGAGGUGUAGCAUAAGUGGGAGACGGUAUCCAUCCCGUCGCCGGUGAAAUACCACUACUUUCAUCGUUUCUUUACUUACUUGGUUAGGCGGAGGGCGUUCGUCGAGGGUAAUACCCGGCGGUACGGUCUUCUCGCGCCAAGCGUUCAAGGGUUGCCGACGGCAGGAGUGCGGGUCGGCGUCGGUGAGUCGUGUAACCCGGCUUGCCGGGCCACGGCCCGGCGUUGUUCCUUUUGCUCCUUGUCCGACGGCAAGCACUCCCUAGCGUGAUCCGAUCCGAGGACACUGCCAGGCGGGGAGUUUGACUGGGGCGGUACAUCUGUCAAAGAAUAACGCAGGUGUCCUAAGGCCAGCUCAGCGAGGACAGAAACCUCGCGUAGAGCAAAAGGGCAAAUGCUGGCUUGAUCCCGAUGUUCAGUACGCAUAGGGACUGCGAAAGCACGGCCUAUCGAUCCUUUUGGCUUGAAGAGUUUUCAGCAAGAGGUGUCAGAAAAGUUACCACAGGGAUAA
rnacentral:rRNA from 1 species